rnacentral:rRNA from 1 species
UGGCGAUAGCGAAGAGGUCACACCCGUUCCCAUGCCGAACACGGAAGUUAAGCUCUUCAGCGCCGAUGGUAGUUGGGGGCUUCCCCCUGUGAGAGUAGGACGCCGCCAAGC